rnacentral:rRNA from 1 species
UGCAUAUCAAUAAGCGGAGGAAAAGAAACUAACUAGGAUUCCCUUAGUAACGGCGAGUGAACCGGGAUGAGCUCAAAUUUGAAAUCUGGCGUCUUUCAGGCGUCCGAGUUGUAAUCUAUAGAGGCGUUUUCCGCGCCGGACCGCGUCCAAGUCUCUUGGAAUAGAGUAUCAAAGAGGGUGACAAUCCCGUACUUGACGCGACAACCGGUGCUCUGUGAUACGUUCUCAACGAGUCGAGUUGUUUGGGAAUGCAGCUCUAAAUGGGUGGUAAAUUCCAUCUAAGGCUAAAUAUUGGCGAGAGACCGAUAGCGAACAAGUACCGUGAGGGAAAGAUGAAAAGCACUUUGGAAAGAGAGUUAAACAGCACGUGAAAUUGUUAAAAGGGAAACGAUUGAAGUCAGUCGUGUGAAAGGUAUUCAGCCGUCUCUGGCGGUGUAUUUGCCUUUCACGGGUCAACAUCAGUUUAGUCCGGUAGAAAAAGGCUGGAGGAAGGUGGCACCCUCGGGUGUGUUAUAGCCUCCUGUCAUAUGUGCCGGAUUAGACUGAGGAACGCAGCUUGCAGCAAUGCCGGGGUUCGCCCACGUACAAGCUUAGGAUGUUGACAUAAUGGCUUUAAACGACCCGUCUUGAAAACACGGACCA